rnacentral:rRNA from 1 species
GACGAACGCUGGCGGCGUGCUUAACACAUGCAUGUCGAACGGAAAGGCCCUGCUUUUGUGGGGUGCUCGAGUGGCGAACGGGUGAGUAACACGUGAGUAACCUGCCCUUGACUUUGGGAUAACUUCAGGAAACUGGGGCUAAUACCGGAUAGGAGCUCCUGCUGCAUGGUGGGGGUUGGAAGUUUCGGCGGUUGGGGAUGGACUCGCGGCUUAUCAGCUUGUUGGUGGGGUAGUGGCUUACCAAGGCUUUGACGGGUAGCCGGCCUGAGAGGGUGACCGGCCACAUUGGGACUGAGAUACGGCCCAGACUCCUACGGGAGGCAGCAGUGGGGAAUAUUGCACAAUGGGCGGAAGCCUGAUGCAGCAACGCCGCGUGCGGGAUGACGGCCUUCGGGUUGUAAACCGCUUUCGCCUGUGACGAAGCGUGAGUGACGGUAAUGGGUAAAGAAGCACCGGCUAACUACGUG